GAUGAAUGCUGGCGGCGCGCCUAACACAUGCAAGUCGAGCGGUAACAGGAGUAAUUUAUUACUUGCUGACGAGCGGCGGACGGCUGAGUAACGCGUGGGAACAUGCCCCAAAGUGAGGAAUAACUGCCCGAAAGGGUAGCUAAUGCCGCAUAUGAUCUUAGGAUUAAAGGAUUUAUCCGCUUUGGGAGUGGCCCGCGUACGAUUAGGUAGUUGGUGAGGUAAUGGCUCACCAAGCCUACGAUCGUUAACUGGUCUGAGAGGAUGAUCAGUCAGACUGGAACUGAGACACGGUCCAGACUCCUACGGGAGCAGCAGUGAGGAAUCUUCCACAAUGGGCAAAGCCUGAUGGAGCGACGCCGCGUGCAGGAUGAAGGCCCU
rnacentral:rRNA from 1 species